rnacentral:tRNA from 1 species
GCCCUCGUGGCGGAACUGGUAGACGCGAUAGACUCAAAAUCUAUUAUUCUUUCGGAUGUGGGAGUUCGAUUCUCCCCGAGGGUACCA